rnacentral:rRNA from 1 species
GGGGGGAGCAAGCGUUGUUCGGAAUCACUGGGCGUAAAGGGCGUCUAGGCGGUUCGGUAAGUGGGAUGUGAAAUGCCCGGGCUCACCCCGGGACCUGCAUCCCAAACUGCUGAGCUUGAGUACAGGAGAGGGUGGGGGAAUUCCAGGUGUAGCGGUGAAAUGCGUAGAUAUCUGGAGGAACACCGGUGGCGAAGGCGCCCACCUGGCCUGUUACUGACGCUGAGGAGCGAAAGCGUGGGUAGCAAACAGGAUUAGAUACCCUGGUAGUCCACGCCGUAAACGGUGGGCACUAGGUGUGGGAUUCACUCAACGGAUUCCGUGCCGCAGCUAACGCAUUAGGUGCCCCGCCUGGGGAGUACGGCCGCAAGGCUA